rnacentral:rRNA from 1 species
AACGAACGCUGGCGGCAUGCCUAACACAUGCAAGUCGAACGAGACCUUCGGGUCUAGUGGCGCACGGGUGCGUAACGCGUGGGAACCUGCCCUUAGGUUCGGAAUAACUCCCCGAAAGGGGUGCUAAUACCGGAUAAUGUCUUCGGACCAAAGAUUUAUCGCCUUUGGAUGGGCCCGCGUUGGAUUAGCUAGUUGGUAGGGUAAAAGCCUACCAAGGCGACGAUCCAUAGCUGGUCUGAGAGGAUGAUCAGCCACACUGGGACUGAGACACGGCCCAGACUCCUACGGGAGGCAGCAGUGGGAAUAUUGGACGAUGGGCGAAAGCCUGAUCCAGCAAUGCCGCGUGAGUGAUGAAGGCCUUAGGGUUGUAAAGCUCUUUUACCCGGGAUGAUAAUGACAGUACCAGGAGAAUAAGCGCCGGCUAACUCCGUG